rnacentral:rRNA from 1 species
UAGGGAAUCUUCCACAAUGGACGAAAAUCUGAUGGAGCAACGCCGCGUGAGUGAAGAAGGGUUUCGGCUCGUAAAGCUCUGUUGUUAAAGAAGAACACGUAUGAGAGUAACUGUUCAUACGUUGACGGUAUUUAACCAGAAAGUCACGGCUAACUACGUGCUAG